AAUUUAAUUUUAAUUAAAUAAUUUUAAAUUAUAUAUAAGCAAAAAUAUAUAUGUAAUAAAAAAAAUUAAUAAAUUUUUUUAAAUUAAUAAAAUAUUAUUUUAUAGCGUGCCAGCAAAAAAAUGCGGUUAAACGAUUAAUUUAAAUUAUUUCAUAUAAUAAACUAAAAAAUAAAUAAUAAGAAAAAAUUAUAGUAAAACAUAAUUUUAAAAUUUAUUUAAAAAGUUAAAAUUUAAAAAAAAAUUAAUUGGAUUAGAUACCCAAGUAAAAAAACUUUUAAGUAUUAAACUAAUAAAGUUAAACUAGAAAUAUAUUGGCGGUAAAAUAUUAUAAUUAAAGGGUCUUGAUUUUUAAUAGAAGGUACACAAUAAAAAAAACUUUUAUUAUAAAUUUAUAUAUCUCCGUAGAAAAAAUAUCAUUUUUUUUUUUUAAAAAAAAAUUUUCAAAUACAGGUCAAGAUAUAGUUUAAAUAAAAGAAAAAUUUAGACACAAAAAAAAAUUAAUAAAAAAAAUAGAAUUUAAAAGUAAUUUUAAUUUUUAUAAAAAAAAAUGAAAUAUUUAUUUUAUGUACAUAUUGCCCAUCGCUUUCAUUUUAAAAUGAAAUAAGUUGAAACAUAGUAGAAAUAUAAGAAUAUGUUUCUAAA
rnacentral:rRNA from 1 species